rnacentral:rRNA from 1 species
GACGAACGCUGGCGGCGUGCUUAACACAUGCAAGUCGAACGGAAAGGCCCUGCUUUUGUGGGGUGCUCGAGUGGCGAACGGGUGAGUAACACGUGAGUAACCUGCCCUUGACUUUGGGAUAACUUCAGGAAACUGGGGCUAAUACCGGAUAGGAGCUCCUGCUGCAUGGUGGGGGUUGGAAAGUUUCGGCGGUUGGGGAUGGACUCGCGGCUUAUCAGCUUGUUGGUGGGGUAGUGGCUUACCAAGGCUUUGACGGGUAGCCGGCCUGAGAGGGUGACCGGGCACAUGGGGACUGAGAUACGGCCCAGAGGGCUACGGGAGGCAGCAGUGGGGAAGAGUGCACAAUGGGCGGAAGGCUGAUGCAGCAACGCCGCGUGCGGGAUGACGGCCUUCGGGUUGUAAACCGCUGUCGCCUGUGACGAAGCGUGAGUGACGGUAAUGGGUAAAGAAGCACCGGCUAACUACGUG